GACGAACGCUGGCGGCGUGCCUAAUACAUGCAAGUAGGACGCAGUUGCGAACGGGUGAGUAACGCGUAGGUAACUACCUAUUAGAGGGGGAUAACUAUUGGAAACGAUAGCUAAUACCGCAUACUAGUAGAUGGACCUGCGUUGUAUUAGCUAGUAGGUAGGGUAAUGGCCUACCUAGGCAACGAUACAUAGCCGACCUGGGAAGGUGGACGGGCAAAAUGGGACCGAGGCACGGGCCAGACUCCUAAGGGAGGCAGCAGGAGGGAAUCUUCGGAAAUGGGGGGAACCCUGGACGAGCAACGCCGCGUGAGGGAAGAAGGGUUUCGGAUCGUAAAGCUAUGUUGUUAAGGAAGCGGUACUUAACCAGAAAGGGACGGCUAACUACGUGCCAGCCGCCGCGGUAAUUC
rnacentral:rRNA from 1 species